AGUGACCCGGUUUGGUUGCGCCGCGAAGCCCAAAAACCCUAAUGACACAAUACAAAUGGCCCCGAUAGCAAGCAUAAUGUUCAUUUCCCCUUUGCCUUAGGGUUUCAUCUCACGCGUUAAUGGCUCGCCGGAUGGUAUCUUCCUUUUUCUGAUCCCGAUUUGCGUCCGGAGAUGGAGACCUCUUUGUGUGGGGAGGAGCUGUUGGUUUGGCUCUGGGUCUGGGCGUGAGCCAGACCCAUUUCUCCCGCAGUAGCAGCGAUGAUGAUGAUGAUGAUAAGAAGGUGGAGUACCACGCUGAAUCUGGAUGUACUGUUGCAAUCGGCAGUAAUGCGCCCCUUGGACGACUUUUCAAUGUUUAGCACUGUAUACAGACUGCUAGCAGUGGUUGAGGAUGAAUUCAACAACUGCCAGCAGUCUGUAUACAGUGCUAAUGCUUUGUCCUCUCGUGCUGCGGCUGCAGCACUCCUCCUUAAGGCAAGUGAGGAAGAGCUUGAGAAGCUUCAGCUGGCAGCAGCCCCACUGCGGUGGUAACUACCACCAAUGCAGCCUCAGAGGCCAAGAACUCACUUAAGAUCUUCUGAAGCUUGACGAAAUUUGGGGUUCUGACGGCUCUAAGCUGGCUAGCGAUGCGGUGGAGAUCACGAACAAGGUAGCGGAAGCCACCUUAAAGGCCCAAUCGGACAUCGGGAACAUGCUUUCCCUGUCAGUUCAGAAUGCCCCUCUUCUCACCUCUCUGGAAGAAGAUUGCAGGACUCAAGCCAAGAGGGCGAAAGAACUUGCUGAGAGGAUUAAAUGGAAAGUGGAUAAUCAUGGCUAUUGCAGAGGAGGGCCCGCCCAACUCGCAGUGGAUGUUGAGCGUGGCGAAACAGCAGUCUGUGCUGCUGAGGAUGCAGCAGCCCAGGGUCUUUCAAAGAUGAAGACUCAGUGCGAAAAACAAAUGAGGUGAUUUCUGAAUGAUGACGUUGCACUGGCUCUGCACUUCAUGUUAGGGGUUUCAAGAUUACUUUGAAUGCCUUGAUUUUGAUGGAUUGUAAUUAACUAACCAAAGAGCAGUGUUCUACGUACUCUCUCUAUCACCGUGUUCCUAAUUUGAGUUUUGGUUGUUCGCCUGAAUCUUCUUGAAAAAAGUCUGUAAUUAGCAAUGAUUGAUUUACGUUAUUAUGGUACUUAUCUUCGGAUUUCUCUUUUGGUACACGUCGACCAUAAUCUUGGGAAAUUAGAUGUAAUAGUGUGUACCUUUGGGCCUUUUGAGGUCUGUCGUUAAUUAGCUUACUUUGUAGCCAUGUUAAUUAGCUUACUUGGGAGAGAGAGAGCACUCUCGAAAUUGCUCUUGUUCAUUUCAUUUCCUUUGUACUACUGCAUACACUGCUUCUGGGCUCAUUCCAGAGGAUUCAGUGCUAUUUUAGUAUAAUCCGUUCCUAUUUUCCUA